rnacentral:rRNA from 1 species
AUUGAACGCUGGCGGAAUGCUUUACACAUGCAAGUCGAACGGCAGCACGGGGCAACCUGGUGGCGAGUGGCGAACGGGUGAGUAAUACAUCGGAACGUGCCCAAUCGUGGGGGAUAACGUAGCGAAAGUUACGCUAAUACCGCAUACGAUCUACGGAUGAAAGCGGGGGAUCGCAAGACCUCGCGCGAAUGGAGCGGCCGAUGUCAGAUUAGGUAGUUGGUGGGGUAAAGGCUCACCAAGCCAACGAUCUGUAGCUGGUCUGAGAGGACGACCAGCCACACUGGAACUGAGACACGGUCCAGACUCCUACGGGAGGCAGCAGUGGGGAAUUUUGGACAAUGGGCGCAAGCCUGAUCCAGCCAUUCCGCGUGCAGGAUGAAGGCCUUCGGUUGUAACUAGCUUUGUACGGUAACGAAACGGUACUGCCUAAUACGGCGGGCUAAUGACGGUACCGUAAGAAUAAGACACCGGCUAACUACGUAGCCAGCAGCCGCGGU